rnacentral:rRNA from 1 species
GGCCGGGGGGAGUAUUG